rnacentral:rRNA from 1 species
GUGGGGAAUUUUGGACAAUGGGCGCAAGCCUGAUCCAGCAAUGCCGCGUGCAGGAUGAAGGCCUUCGGGUUGUAAACUGCUUUUGUACGGAACGAAAAGCCCUGGGUUAAUACCCUGGGGUCAUGACGGUACCGUAAGAAUAAGCACCGGCUAACUACGUGCCAGCAGCCGCGGUAAUACGUAGGGUGCGAGCGUUAAUCGGAAUUACUGGGCGUAAAGCGUGCGCAGGCGGUUUUGUAAGACAGAGGUGAAGUCCCCGGGCUCAACGUGGGAAAUGCCUGUGUGACUGCAAGGCUAGAGUACGGCAGAGGGGGAUGGAAUUCCGCGUGUAGCAGUGAAAUGCGUAGAUAUGCGGAGGAACACCGAUGGCGAAGGCAAUCCCCUGGGCCUGUACUGACGCUCAUGCACGAAAGCGUGGGGAGCAAACAGGAUUAGAAACCCUAGUAGUCC